GCCAGGGUAGCUCAGCUGGUAGAGCAGAGGACUGAAAAUC
rnacentral:tRNA from 3 species